AGCCUUGUGGUGUAAAACAUGUUAGGUUGCAAAUCUAAAGAUGCAGAUGACAGUCUGCCGGGGCUU
rnacentral:tRNA from 1 species